GAAAUGUAAAGUAAAUAAGAAGCUGCUAACUUUUGUAUUAGCGGUUUAAAUCCGUUAACAUUUCU
rnacentral:tRNA from 1 species